rnacentral:rRNA from 1 species
UUCAGGGAAAAACUGUUUUAAACUUAAAAAUUAAAUCUAUUUUAAUUUGUGAAGAAACAAUUAUUUAAAUUAAGGACAAGAAGACCCUAAGAAUUUUAAAGAUAAUAAUUUUAAUAUUAAAAUUAUUAUCUUUUGGUUGGGGCAACUAAAAAAGAUUAUAAACUUUUUAUUUAAUAAAAUGACCCAUUAUUAAUGAUAAUUUGAUAAAAAUACUCUAGGGAUAACAGCGUAAUAAUUUUUGAUAGAACAUAUAGACAAAAUAGUUUGCGACCUCGAUGUUGGAUUAGGAUACUUUUUUAAUGAAGAUGUUAAAAAAAGAAGUUUGUUCAACUUUUAAAGUCCU